ensembl:lncRNA
GCCACUCCCUAUUAUCUUCCUCAGAUAAGAUAGUUAUGGUUUUGAAUUCUAAGUAUAACGAUACUGGAUUACAAGAACACAUUCCUGGGGCCGGGGAUUUAGCUCAGUGAUUUCGCUGCCUGCUGCGCAAGCGCAAGGACCCAAGUUCGAUCCCGGUAACAAAAAAAAAAAAAAAAGAACACAUUCCUUACUUAUUUCACUCUUCAGCAUUACCUGUCUGCCCAGUUGGCAUCUAAGUAGAAUAUAGUGAACUCUCACUGAUUACUAGAUUCUAAUCACCACGUAACUACCAGCAUCACCAGACACCAUUUAGGCAUCCACUUUCAGUAAGAAUAAAACAAAACAAAACAACUAGUUUUCUCUCAUUACAUUCCUAGUGCUCUUGAAAUAAAACCUGCAUCAGGCUCCUAAGGCCAUCAUCCAAAGCCCAUGGACUUUCCCUUGAGAUCAAACACAUGCUGUUAGGGCUCUGAGUCUCACUUUCAGGCUCUCUGUCAUCUCCUGACUCUUCCAGGGGACAUAAAAACAAUACCCUCAUACACCAGUUCCACCGAAAAGAUUUUCUUUAUUGUUGUUAUUACUGAAGCAUUGAUAUCCUUAUAUUUUAUAUCUAUAUGUACAGAUUUUACAUGUCCUAUACUUUACACAAUAUACACAUGCAUAUGCACACACGAUUUUGACAUAUCACAGUAAAAAAUUUAGAUGUGAUACUAGUCUAUAGCUCAAUUUAAGAUAGAAAGCCAUAGCCUAAAUGUGCUGGCUUUGUUUCCCAGCAUCUCAGUUUUCUUUACAAUUUGAGAAAGUACUAUUUGAGUAUUUAUUAUUAUUAUUUGAGUAUUAUUAUUACUUGAGGCAUAAUAAUAUUAAUCUUUAAUGGCCUUUACUCUACUGAACAUGCCUAUGUACCCAUUCCCACUGAAAUUUCCCUUCUAGCCACACAUAGUCAUUACCCUGAUUUAAUGUAAAGGCAACUGAGGCCCAUAUGAAGUGACCUCCUCAAGCCAUUCAGGUGUUAGAGUGGAGUCAGAAAAAACAAAGCCUUGGCUGGUAGCCCUGGGCUCUUUCUGAGAAUCCACAAGAACUGAGUGAAUAUUUCAAACAUAUUUUCUGAAUGAAAAAACUCCCCAUAGUCUCUGGCAGUUAGUACCUAAGAAGAUAAAGCAGAGUAUUAAAAAUCCAUGUACACUCUAGUGAAAAUGUCCAGACUUUGUUGGAGUGAGAGGCUCAAAGCACCUGUCAAGGUACGCUAUAAUGAGAAAUGAUCAUGACUGGAAUGUUCUCCUUUAUCUCACCAGCUCUAUAACCCAAAUUUUAUCAAAGACUUCAGGCCUGAAGAGCUCAGACCGCAUUUUGUCAUUAAUAUUCACCACCAUACCCUUUAAGGGUAUGGGUAUGUGUUAUUAGCAUCACAUUUCAGAUGAAAAUACACCAUGAAAAGAACCAUAGCAUUUGUGCCUGGCUUAAGGAUUCAGAGACUGCUUCCUUUUAGAACCAUCUCUUAUGUCUGAUUCAGCUUUGCCCUCCUGUAGGAAACAACACAGAUAAACCAAGUGGGAUGCUCUUUUCAGCCUAAUGUCCCCAGUGUCAAAGUCUGACUAAAAUAAUAAGAUCAAAGCCCUAGGACUAUGAUGAAAAUGAAAGUCCGUGAUGGAGCAAGAUUGGCAAAGAAGCUAUUAUGUAUUGGCCUAGAUACUCAAAUGUCCUUUGAAAAAUAUUAAAAAUACAGAUGUCUAUUAUUAUAUAAUAGCAUUAAGACCUAAACCUCAGCCAUCUUUAGAAAUCCAAGCAAUGGUCACCCAAGAGCUAGGCUUUCAAUAUUUUCCCUCUUUUCUUUUUUUCUGGUACUGAGCUACAUACCCCCGCCCCUUUUUUUGAGACAGGUCUUGCUAAAUUACCCAAUUGUCCAGAACUUAUGAUCUGCUGCAUCACAUUUGAUUCUAUUGUGACCAUUUAGCAUGAUCUUGAACAUACAAGCUGUAAUUUCACAGCUUCAAACACUUUACUGUGUCUAUGAAAUCUACAUUUUUUUUAAAAAGCCGGUCACUGACACCUGACAUGAACCACACCAACACUCACUGAAAAGACUGUAAGAAGUGUCAUCCUGGGUAAGUCAGUGGUGCAUCUGAUCGAGAAUUCUGUCACUGUUAUCUGAAACACUCAUGGGAGGGCAUGAGCUCUUAAAACUAAUGUUGCACUUCUAAGAACUUUGCCUCAUCAAUACAAAAAUCACAUAAAAUCAUUCAUUGCAGUGAUAUUUGUAAUCACAGAACCUGGGAACAAACUAAAUGGUUAUUAAUAAGCAACUGGUUGAACAGACUGUGGCACAGCCAUACAAUAGACUAUCAUUCAGCUAAAAAAAAUAAGAUCUUUAUGCAACAAUAAGGAAGAUUCCAAGGAUAUAUUGGUAAGUAAAUUAAAUAAUAUAUAUACACUCGAAUGUCCAUAGGAUGCCGCUAUCAUUCAAAAGCUAUGGGAUGGAUAUUUUUCAGACAUUUUGCACAUACUUACUGUGCAUCUUCUACAUCCCAGAAACUGUUCUAGCUACUGGGGACAUGGCAGUAAAGAAGAAAAUAGACCAAACUCCUAGCCUUCCAGAAGCUUAUUCUCAUUUUCUCAUGCCAGGAUACUCGUGUCUGAGGCCCCCUGACAAUUCUGUCUGUCUCAUUUGGGAUCUCUCAUGUAUACUUAGUCAGACAGCUGCUGGAGCUGGAGCCAACUAAAAAAUUAAUUAGAAUGCUGUACUACUACAAACUGCCUCUGAUGUCACAUGAUCUGUGUGUCUGUCUUCAUAUAGCCUUCUUAUAAAGAUGUCAGCCACUGGAUUUUGAGUCCAUCUACUUCAUUCUAACCAUCUUUCACACAGACUCUCCAUCAGAGAGAGAAAAUUCAUAGCCAGUUCAAAGUUCUCAGAAGCACAAAAAUGGAAGCUACCUGGCCUUAUAAAGUUAGUGGAAUGUGUCUAGCAAUAUUUUACAUGCUGAGAUCACAGUGGAGAACAACACAGGCACAAGACCCCAUGUCAAACAACUUUCAUUGUAGUAGAGACAAUACCACUGAAUUCUUGCUUAGAACUCUUGGUUGUUGUAGUAGUGUGGAAAAAAUAAUGAACUACAUCUGACACCUGGGCUCUCUCUCUGCAGUGAGUUCCAGACAGAGUAAAAGAUAACAUAACUCAAUCAUAUCCUGAACCAGACAGUCUGAAAUCCAUCGAUAUCUAGAUGUCUCCUCCAUUCAUACAAUUACUUAUCCUUGUUCAAAGAGCUCUCUAAUUUUUAUCUUCUUUAUAAAGUUUUUUAAAAUGGCUAAUGCUUUGGGGAUGAGUAAAGAGGUGAUGAGAACUUUACAAAAGGGAAGAAAAAGUGAGUUUCCUGGACAGUUCAAAAUUGCCUCUCCCCUUCCGUCCAAAUUUUUGGACUCUAGAAUUGUGACACUUCCCUAAAUUAUUAAUACACAUCUGCUCAAAUUAUGAUUUAUAUCUCAAUUGACCCAUUUGGCAGGAAUGACAGACUGCAAAUUGUGAAAUGGAAUGAUAUCAUAUGAUUUUUUAACAUUGCUAUCUCUAGCAUACACCUGUUACAGAGAACGCCAGAUGUUAAUCAGCAGAUGUUCCUGGGGCUCACAAAGAAAAACAGAAAUAUGAUGAAUGCUGCUGCUCAGGCUGCCCGACAGAAAGACAGGCUUGUAGAAACAUGAUGGUGUGUCCUGAUCCACCUUAUUUACUGACUGGCACCAUGCAACUUCUGUCUCCUCCCCAGAGUCAAGAUCUCCAUAAAAGGUAAAUAUUUUGAAUCUUUUCAGGACAUCAAGGAAGCCACAACAAUGCAACCCAAAACAGCAUACAGCUAUUAGGACCACGUCGGGGAGAUUAACACUUAACUUUGUCCAGUAAAGAAAUAUGACCAAGGUGUAGCGCUUUCUUUUCUUUUUUUUUUUUUUUGGUACCAGGGAUCGAACUCAGGACCUUGUCCUUGCGAGGCAGGCACCAGAACCACUGAGCUAAAUCCCCAGCCCAGCUUUCUUUGGUCUUACCAUUCAGAAAAAAAGCAUCCUCCUCCCACGAAACAAGUAUAAGCAAUGAAAGGCAGGGCUCCAGGACCUUUUCUAAGAGAGCCACUGACAAUCCAGGUUAUAUAUGGAAACACAAAUGUAUUUUGUCAAUAAAAACAAUACAUAGACUUUGUGUUUUCCCUUUCAUGUCAUGCAUGUGAAGGUGGGUUAGAGACGAACCAG